rnacentral:lncRNA from 1 species
AAGUUUCGUCCGAUCGAAGCUCUCAGCCGUCUUCAACUUUGCCCCGAUAACUCGAUCGUGCCUCCAGCUCCACCCUUGAUGGCUUGACCAUGCCCUUGGCUGUCGCCAACUCUGCUCAAUCAGAGCUCUCAGCUACCUCUAGCUCCACCCUUGAUGGCUUGACUGUGCCCUUGGCCGCCUUUAGCCCUCCGUGGCUUUGCCUCACUAGGAUCUUUCUGUUGCCUUUAGCUCCUUCAUCUUCGGCAAGCCUUGGUGAUCAUGGCUUCGACAUCGUCUCCGACUCUCCAAAACAACGGUGGUAGCACGAAGAAGAAGGAAAGGGAGGGAACAAGAAAAUCCUAGUCCAAUCAGAAAUUGAUAAAAUACAAAGGGUAGAAUGGUGUAUUAAUUGUUAUCCAUCGUGGGAUUUAAUAUGGUUAUAUAAAAAAGGUAUGGAAGGAGCCUACUAGCUCAUUAUUUAAUUUAUUUGAAUGAUCUAUAUACUAAUUAAUUUAAUCCAAUUCAAAUAUAUAUAAAUUAAAUAAAUUAAAUAGAUUAG